AUUCCAGCUCCAGUAGCGUAUAUUAAUGUUGUUGCAGUUAAAAAGCUCGUAGUUGGAUUUCUGACUUGACGCGCCUGGCCCGCCUUGCAUUUCGCGGGUGAGUGCCGGAGCGCGUCGGUCAUCCUUCUAGAGAACGGCGCUACCCUUCACUGGGUCGGCGUCGCAAUCUAGAUCUUUUACUUUGAAAAAAUUAGAGUGUUCAAGGCAGGCUCGCGCUGUGAAUACAUUAGCAUGGAAUAAUAAUCUAGGACUUUGUUCCUAUUUUGUUGGUUUCUAGGAAUUAAGUAAUGAUUGAUAGGGAUAGUUGGGGGUGCUAGUAUUCAGCGGCCAGAGGUGAAAUUCUUGGAUUCGCUGAAGACUAACUUAUGCGGAAGCAUUCACCAAGGAUGUCUUCAUCG
rnacentral:rRNA from 1 species